CGUGACCCCCCCCCAGCGCCCUCAGGGCCGGAGGGACACCAGAACCCCCGGCGCCAUGUCGGCCGUGUGAAGGUGAAGACAGGCGGCGCCCCCUGGUGCAGAGGUGCACAGCAGCUGCUGCUGAUUUGCCGCAGGGCAUGGUGAGAGUCGCGUGACUGUGAGUAUAGUGCCCCCUGCAGGGUAUCCAGAGAGCUGCUCCUCAUUGGCCAGAGGGUCUUGCGGGAGUCAGGCGGCCUCCAACAUGGAUCCUGCCACAAGGGUUCCUGGGAGACAGCCUGGGGUGAAGACGCCCCCUGGUGCUUGCAGAAGUGUCUCCCGAUUGGCCAUGGCGCCUCAGGGGUGGCACAAGAUGGGAUCUGAUGGCUCCUCCUUCCCUUCUGUGCACUCUCUAGUGCCAGCUACCAGGGCUGGGAGUUCCUGGCCGUGUUCCCACAGAACAACGACGAGUCCCCCAGCAUGUACCUGCAGCUGCUGCUCACCUCCUAUGGCCCUGCUGACACCCAAGUGUCAGUGACGCUCUGUUGCGGCUCCAUCACCUGGAACAUCACCCUGAGGCCAGAUGUCACUGUGCCCUUGCCCUUUCCUGCUAGCCUGGAACGUGAUGGAAGCCACACUUCCCAUAAAACCUUGGUGGUUGAGGCCAGUGCUGACAUCUCUGUGACGUCUGUCGGCACCAAUGGCUACACUGUGGGUGCCACUGCCCUCCUGCCUAUGGAGAGCCUGGGCACCAGGUACUAUGUGUGACACCGGUUGGGAACUAAACUUAUGGCCUGACUGAGUUUGUGGUGGCCACCGACCCCACCACCAUCACUAUUAGCAUCACCACCAGCACCACUUUCCACUGUGCUGGGCCCACAUAUGUCCCCGUUGCUGUGCUCCACCUAUUCCUGCAGCCCUAGCAUAGCCUGCAGCUCCAGAGCAGCCUGGACGUCACUGGCACAAUUGUGGUGGCCGACACCCCUGUGGCUGUCCUCAGUGGCCACACGUGUGUCAAGGUAUCUGUUGGCUUUGACUUUGUGGUGGAGCAGUUCCUCCCAAAGACAGUGUGGGGGAGGAGCUACGUGUGGCCGCCCAACCCACUGCAGACAGAGGCUGACUUCGUUUAUGUGGUGACGCAUGAAGACAACACCAUCAACUGCAGCACCGGGAGCAGGAAUGCCACUGUGGCCAUGGCGGUAGGGGAGGUGCAGAUGUUCGUGGUGAACUGUGGGGUGCAGAGGUUCAGGGACAUCACACCAUAACCAAUAUGGUCCAGUGAAGCCAAAUUUAUUAUUCCUAAAAGGGCUAUAUUUAUAAUAAAUUUCUACUGUUUACGUGUCUAUAGCUAAUACAUGAUUGGUUAAUCCUAGCUGUUCACGCGUCUAAAAUAGAAUGCUGAUUGUAUCAGCUAAUUUUUCACACGUCUUGCUGUGGUUGUCUGGUCCGCCCAUGGCUUCUCUUUUUUCUCCCUUUCUCAAGCUUGCUGACAAACUUGUCCCCACACCAGUCUCCUGUGAGGAUUUUGGUAUGUGAGGAGAGGUGUGAGAUGGUGGCUGGACCAACCAGAGUGCAUCCAGGAGACUUUCUCCACCGGUUGGCUCUCUGAUGGGCCACACUACUGCAGUUUUGAUGAAAAACCUUUGAUUUCAUGGGAGCAUGUGCCUACACCUUGACCACCAUCUGCAAUCCUGAUCCCACCUUUCCUGCUCUCUCUCUUGCGGUCAAAAAGGAGGAAAAGGAGAACUCCAAAGUUUCCUGCAUCGGCUCCAUCACCAUCCAAGUCGACAACAUGACUGUCACUGCUGUCCAGUCAGAGAAUGGGAUGGUGAGGGUGAGCAACCACCACUUGUGCCUCCCCAUUUUCCUCUCCCACGGGAAGGUCCACAUCCACCAGAAGGGUAAAUCCACGUUGAUCCAAUCAAAUUUCAAGCUGAAGGUCCUCUACAGCUGGGAUGAUCAUGUAAUGAUCAAACUUCCAGCUCCUCUUUCUAGAAACAACUGCGGAAUUUGUGGGAACAACAAUGGGGAUCCCCAGGAUGACUCUCUCUCCUGAUGGAAAACAAGUGUGGGAUAUUGUGGAGUUUGGGUGGAGCUGGAAGGCGACCAGUGAGAGUGGCCACUGCCAGGACAUCUGUGAUGGUGACUGUGGGCGGUGCAGAUGGGACCAGGUGCAUUCUACAUGCAAGGCAGAGACCUGGUGUGGGAAGUUGUCCCAACAUUCUGGGCCAUUCCAGUCGUGUCAUGACACUAUCAGUCCCAAUAUCUAUGUGAAGAACUGUAUCUAUGACCUGUGUGCCAAUGAGGGGCAUCGCAAUGCCCUGUGCCAUUCUUUGAGAUCUAUGCUGAUGACUGCCAGGAGGAGAGGAUCAGUGCUUCCCACUGGAGGAAACAGCUGGAAUGUUCUCUCACUUGCCCGCCCAACAGCACCUACAGCACUUGUGGCCUCGCCUGCCUCCCUACCUGCAACAUCCCUGCUGUGUCAUCCAGCUGUGCUGCUGUCACCACCUGUGUGGACACCUGCGUGUGCCACGAGAGCCUUGUCCUUGAUGCCAACACCUGAAUCGCCCCUUCUGAAUGUGGCUGUUUCAUUCAGGGUUUCUUCUAUGGCCUUGGCGAGGAAUUUUGGCGUGACCUGACUUGCAUCCAACACUGUGUGUGUGACAGCGGCAGACAGUGUGCCGGGAUUCUGGUUGUGGCACUGAGGAGGGAUGCUGGGUGGAGGAGAGGAUCCAGGAUUGUUAUCCCAAAAUUUUUGGGGUCUGCACUGCUGUUGGAGCCACCCACUAUGAGACCUUUGAUGGCAAGGGGUUCAUCUUCCAGGGCAUGUGUGUGUCCUACCUGUUGGUAGGGUUGUGUGAGGAAACUCAAAAUUUGGUGGGAUGCCAGGUGUUGGAUGCAGAAAGGCAACCUUAGUGACAGCCUCGUGUCAUCCAUCACUGUGGUGACAGUCAAAGUCUACAACAAGACCAUCAGCAUCAGCAGGGAACAUCCUGGAAAAAUCAUGACUGAUGAGCAGUUGGUCAAUCUCCCAUAGCACAACAGGGAAAGAAAGAUUGUUGUCUAUCGUCACGGGCAGGACGUGGUGGAAAUGACCAAUUUUGGCCUUGUUGUCACCUAUGACUGGUACAGCCACAUCACCACCAUGGUGCCCAGUGGCUUCACCAAUGCCCUAUGUGGGCUCUGUGGGAACUACAGUGGCGCUGCAAGCGACAACAUGAUGAUGAGGAACAACCAUGGGACGUCAGACCCAGAUGCCUUCAGGAGCAGCUGGAAGGUCACAGAUGUCCCAGGAUGUGGUGAGAGGUCAACAGUGGAAUGUUCCAGGACACUUGCACCUUCCUGGCUGCAGCAGGAAGUCUCUGGGAUGGGAUGUGAAAUUAUUUUGGAAGUGGAUGGACUCUUCAGAGCAUGUCAUGGUCAUGUUGAUGGCCACCAGUACUUCCAGAGCUGCAUCCAUGACUCCUGCCUUUUCCCCUAUCAGGAAGAAAGGAUGUGUCCAAUCGUUGCCCUCUACGCCACCACCACCAGGCUGCUGAUGUGUCCAUUGAGAGGUGGAGGACAGAUAAUUUCUACUGUAAACUGGGACAAUGGGAGGGUUUUUUCUUCAGCAGUAUACAAAGGAUCCUCAAGUCUACGCCAAAUCCAUGUAUGAACAACCCGGAAGUGCAUGGGAAUCCCACCCAAAG